rnacentral:rRNA from 1 species
GUGCCAGCAGCCGCGGUAAUACGUAAGGUCCAAGCGUUAUCCGGAAUUACUGGGCGUAAAGCGUCUGUAGGCGGCUAUUCAAGUUAGGUGCGAAAUUCUGCGGCUCAACCGUAUAACUGUGCUUAAAACUGUUUAGCUAGAGGUUGGUAGAGGCAAGUGGAAUUGGCGGUGUAACAGUGACAUGUGUAGAUAUCGCCAGGAACACCAAUGGCGAAGGCAGCUUGCUGGGCCAUAACUGACGCUCAGAGACGAAAGCGUGGGGAGCGAACGGGAUUAGAUACCCCCGUAGUCC